rnacentral:misc_RNA from 1 species
AUAUGGAUUCACUUUCUCCACUCAACAUAGGAAGAGAACGUUCUUUGAAAAAGGAAAAGAAAGGAAAAGUAAUUGAAAGUUUUUGCAAAGUAAUUUGAACAUAGGGGCACCAUUGGUGACCUUAAUGGCACCGUUAGCAACCUCUACAGUCUUCAUUGGAGCUGUGAACUUAUUAUUUUUUAAAAUAUUCUAAAUUUUUUUAUAAAUUAUGUAGAUAUUUUAGAAUUUUUUUAUAAAUUAUGUGGUCAAGUGGGAUUCACUUUUAGCCCGUGCCAAAAAAGUCCAUAUAUGUGUGCCACAUCAGUGAACGUGACAGUGUUACAUGGAUUGCCCCUUAUUUAAUUAACAAAGAAAUCCUGAAGGGUUAUACAAUGACACAAAUUGAAUCAUAGGACCUAAUUAAGAACAAAAAUACAAAACAACAUGGUACUUUUCCA